CGAUUAAGACAGCAGGACG
rnacentral:snRNA from 1 species